rnacentral:lncRNA from 1 species
GGCAGACAGAAGUUAGCUCGGUUCAACGCCCAUGAGUUUGCCACGCUGGUCAUUGACAUUCUCAGUGACGCCAAGAGGAGACAGCAGGGCAGUUCUCUCUCGGGUUCAAAAGACAAUGUGGAGCUCAUACUGAAAACCAUCAAUAACCAGCACAGCGUUGAGAGUCAAGACAACGAUCAGCCCGACUAUGACAGCGUGGCAUCAGACGAAGACACAGAUUUGGAAACCACUGCAAGCAAAACAAACCGGCAGAAGGUGAGAGGCCAUGCGUCCCAUGGAAGGGCAAGCACGCAUCAGCUGAGGGCUAGCCCUGCCAAAGCUGCUGUGCAGUGAGGUUGGGUUUGUUACUAGCUCAGGCCAAGCAAAGGUGAAACAAGGUUAAAUGGUUUUAAAAUAGGGAUCCUUGUCCCUGCAUCACAGCCCUGCUGCAGUUGAGACUUUAUAAAACUUGUGAGGAGUGAUUGGUGUGUUUUAUUCAUUCAACAAGUGUUUACUGAGUGACUUCUCUGGAUAUUACUCUCCUGAAUGAGGCCUCGUCCCUUUCCUGUGAGGCUCUCAUUGCCUAGGAGAGAGAGAACUGCGGAGAAGGCACAAAGUGAUGUGUGUCAUACGAAGCACACACAGGCUGAGGGAGUGAGCAGAGAGAGAAUCUAUGGCUGGGAGCAUC